rnacentral:misc_RNA from 1 species
UCUCCGUAGGUGAACCUGCGGAGGGAUCAUUCACAACAAUAAUGUCCAAACCUAACAAACAAUCAAUCUGUGAAUCGUUUUCUUGUCUUAGAAUGAUGGAUGAUGGUUGGAGCUGGAGAGAGAGAUUUCGCAGCAAGAACGCGUCAUUCAUUCAAACAAGGCAAGAUAUUUUUUUCCACCCCAUUUUCGGCAAGUUAUGCACAAACUCGGCUCCGGUCGAGGCUGUGCACGAUGAGCGAAUCCAUUCGAAAGAAUCUACAAAUGAUAGCUGAGUUGGCAACAACUUCAGCUGACCUGCAGUCCAUAUUCUGAACAAGGAUGCGACGCAGUGUCUCCAACAAAUAGAGAAACAACUCUAUGCCCUGGAUAUCUUGGUUCUC